GCCCCAGCAGCCCCAGGAACUGCUGCGGAAGCGGAACGGAGCCACUCCCCCUGUUUGCGCUGAGUGAGGAGCCGCGCCUCUCUCCGCACUGCGUCUGCGUGCCACCGCCGCCGCCGCCUCCUCUCCGCCCGCGCUGCGCGCCAACGCGGACGCCGAGCGGGCCUAUCUAGCGCUGCACGCCGCCGCCCGCCACGCCAGCCGCACCUUCACUUGGACUCUUGGAGUGGCGUCGGCUGCGCCUGCUCCAGCCUACCCAGCGCUCACCAUGUCGUCGUCCCUGGCGUCCUCCUCGUACCGCCGCAGGAUCCUCGACUCCAAGGCGGCGGCCUCCCACGCGCUCUACUCCUGCCGGCUCCCCUCCCGCUCCAGGCAGCCGGCCCACACCAGGAUUGGCGCCGCCGCCAGAGUUCAUGGAGUUGAGAGUAGCAUCAUCAGUGUCCUAACUAUGCAUCACUGGGAGACCUUGAAUCACAUGGCGUACAAGUUCGGGAAGCUUGACAAGGUUCAUGGAAAGUUAGCCUUGAAGAUACUGGGUUCUAUUGUGCAACAAUCAGGUUUGGAGCGAAUCACUCAUGUUUACUGCCUGGCAGCUCAUAUCCUCAUCCAAGCUCAAAUGCAUUCACAAGCAAUGUCAGUGUUGAAGCAUCUUGCCAUGGCGGGCUUCUCUUGCUCUGCUAUAUUUAGCUCCCUUCUCCGAACCAUCUCGCGUUGUGAUUCCAAUCCCAUGGUUUUUGACCUUCUUAUCAAUGCAUAUCUAAAGGAAAGAAAAGUUGUUGAUGCAAGUAAGGCAAUUUUAUUGAUGGAUGACUGUGGAUUUAAGGCUUCAACUCACACCUGCAAUGCUGUCCUUAACGCUCUUGUGGAAGUUGGGGAAUCAAAACAUGUUUGGUUCUUCUUAAAAGAAAGCUUGGCCCGGAAGUUCCCAUUGGAUGUCACCACUUGUAAUAUUGUACUGAAUUAUUUUUGCCUUGAUGGUAACCUUAAAAAGGCUAAUCUUAUGCUACAAAAGAUGAAGAGUCGGUCCAUAUCAAACGGUGUUACUUAUAACACAAUACUUUACUGGUAUGUUAAGAAGGGAAGGUUCAAGGCUGCCAUGCGUGUCUUAGAAGAUAUGGAGAAGAAUGGUGUACAGGCAGAUGUAUAUACUUAUAACAUCAUGAUUGAUAAGUUAUGUAAAAUGAAGAGGAGUACGCGUGCUUACCUUUUGCUCAAAAGAAUGAGGGGAAAUAACUUAUCACCUGAUGAGUGUACAUAUAAUACUUUGAUCAAAGGAUUUUUCGAUGAAGGUAAGAUGAAACUUGCUAUCUAUAUCUUCAAUGAAAUGCUGAAACAGAGCUUGAAGCCAAGCCUAGCUACUCACACCACCUUGAUUGAUGGGUACUGCCGAAGUGGGGUAACUGGUGAAGCUUUAAGAGUUCUGUAUGAAAUGCAAGUUGCUGGUGUGAAACCAAAUGAAUUAACUUAUAGUGCAAUGCUGAAUGGUUAUUGCAAAGCUUCCAUGCCGGGACAUGCACUGAAUCUUAUUGAAGAUAUGAAAGCAAGAGGCACAACAAUCAAUAGGACUAUGUAUACUAUCCUGAUUGAUGGUUUCUGUCAGCUAGGAGUGGUUUCUAAAGCCAAGCAAAUUUUAAAGAGUAUGCUUGUGGUUGGGAUCAGUCCAGAUGUUGUUACUUAUUCAGCAUUGAUCAAUGGUAUGUGCAAGAUGGGUAAGUUGGACGAAACAAAAGAGAUAUUAUCAAGGAUGCAUAAAACAGGAGUUUUGCCUAAUGAGGUUCUUUAUACAACUCUAGUUUGCUAUUGUUGCAAGGCUGGAUAUAUCGGAGAAGCACUAAAGUAUUUUGUUGAUAUAUAUCGGAGGGGCCUAGCUGCCAAUUCAUUCAUCCAUAAUACAUUGUUAUGUACGCUGUAUCGAGAAGGAAUGGUUACACAGGCUGAGCAAUUUAAACAAUACAUGUCUAGGAUGAAGAUAUCAUUUGAUGUUGCCUCUUUCAACUGUAUAAUAGACUUUUACUGCACCAGAGGUAAUAUGCAUGAGGCAUUCUCAGUGUAUGAUAAUAUGCAUAGAUUUGGUUGUUCUCCAAAUGUUGGCACAUAUAGGAAUUUGCUUAGAGGGUUAUGCAAGGGCGGCCACUUGGUACAAGCAAAGGAGUUCAUGGCUUGCCUUGUUGACAUACCUUCUGCCAUUGAUCAGGAAACCUUCAAUGCAUUACUUCUGGGGAUUUGCAAAGACGGAACUCUAGAUGAAGCUCUGGAUUUAUGUGAGAAAAUGGUUACAAGUAACUUUCUACCUGACAUCCAUACUUACACUGUUCUUCUUAGUGGUUUUUGCAGAAAAGGCAAAAUUGUUCCUGCAGUCAUCCUGUUGCAGAUGAUGUUGGAGAAAGGAUUUGUCCCUGAUAUUGUUUCAUAUACCUGUUUGUUGAAUGGCUUGAUCAAGGAAGGUCAAGCUAAGGUUGCUUCUUACCUGUUCCAGGAGAUCAUAUGCAAGGAAGGCAUGUAUGCAGAUUGUAUUGCCUACAACUCAAUGAUGAACGGGUACCUAAAGGCAGGAAUGAUACAUAAAGUAGAUAUGACGAUUCGGGAUAUGUAUCAUAAUGAGGUUUAUCCAAACCCAGCCAGCUAUAACAUUCUUAUGCAUGGGCACAUCAAGAAGGGACAUUUGUCAAGAUCUGUUUAUCUAUACAAAGAUAUGGUAAGGAAAGGGAUUAGGCCGAACAAUGUGACAUAUCGUUUGCUUAUCCAUGGAUUUUCGGAACAUGGUAUGACUGAAAUUGCGAUUAAGUUCUUGGACAAGAUGGUCUUAGAACGCAUUUAUCCGGAUAGAUUAACAUUUGAUGUACUCAUAACUGUAUGUAGUGAAAAAUCUAGGAUGUCCAAUGCUUUACAGCUCUUCAACUGCAUGAAGCGGUUAUAUAUGUCACCUAGCAGUAAAGCAUACAGUGCCAUGAUAAAUGGAUUAAUCAGGAAAAAUUGGCUGCAGCAGAGUUGUGAUGUUUUACGUGACAUGGUCGAGAGUGGACUUGAACCGAAUCAUACACACUAUAUUGCAUUAAUCAAUGCAAAAUGCAGGCUUGGGGACAUCAAUGGAGCAUUCAGGCUGAAAGAGGAAAUGGCAGCUCUUGGUGUUGUGCCAGCUGAAGUUGCUGAAAGCUCAAUUGUUAGAGGUCUUAGUAAAUGUGGAAAGGUUGAAGAGGGUAUCAUAGUUUUCUGUAGCAUAAUACGGGCUGGAAUGGUGCCAACCAUUGCUACUUUCACUACCCUAAUGCAUGGUCUCUGUAAAGAAGGCAAGAUUACAGAUGCUCUGCACCUCAAAGGGUCAAUGGAGUUGUAUGGAUUGAAGAUUGAUGUAGUCACUUAUAAUGUUCUAAUCACAGGUUUAUGCAACAACAAGUGUGUUUCUGAUGCGUUAGAUCUUUAUGAAGAGAUGAAAUCUAAGCAACUUCGGCCGAACAUUACAACAUACACCACAAUGAUUGGGGCUAUCUAUGCAACAGGCAGAAUGUUGGAAGGAGAGAAACUACUGAAUGAUAUAGAGGAUAGGGGCUUUGUUCCCUCAUAUAAGGAUCAAAUUCUUGAAUGGAGGAUGGAGAAUGCAAUGAGAAGGUUGAACGUGAUAAGAAAUUGCAAAAAGGAAAUAACUUCUAAGAAUGAGGUCGAGCUAUUACAUGCAGAUCAUGAAUCCAUGCAUAAAGCUGCUGAAGACUGAAAUCCUCGUAAAUUAACCUUUUCUACUUCAAAGGAAGUGGUAUGUUUGAUCGAUAUGGUUCAUAGUUUGAUGGGGAUGCUUAUAUUUGUUGAUGACACUGAGAUUUAAAUAAAUAUAGAAGAUGAAGACUUUGGUGUCAUAAUUUACGAAAAAGCAAAAGACAGACUAAGAUGAUGGUAGCCAUGCAUAGAAAACAUCAGUACGGAGAACAUGAUUACCUCACUUCAUCAAGGACAAGGAUACAAAUACGUUCAGGAGAUGAGAGAGAUCCUUCCUUUGGACCCAGGGCAUGUCACUCUCGGAUAAAUCAACUUUGCAACAGCAAGACCUGUUGCCAUUGGCCAACCAUGGAGUGAUUGAUAGCACGGUGGCAGGAAACGAGACGCGGGAAAGAAUGAGUCACGGAGAUGGCACUGAUCUUUUCGGUUCUCAAAGGCCAGAAACGCCCCCUUCGGAUGCAUCAGAAUACAGUCAACUCAUUUCAGCAGGGCCGUUGCUACCACUACUAGAACAGUACGCAGGCAUUGGUUCUUAUGACCAAAACACACUUAGGGGGGCACCAUGGCAAGUUCAGUCACAGGGCGCUAACACUGACAAAUGUGCGGGCAGCCAACUUCAAGUAGCUAAUGUGGCAAGUCAAGAGCCUUCGUGCAGCACAUGGCGGCAGUCGGCACCCAUGUACCUGCCAUCGAUGUCGUACACAGGUUAUUACGGAGCUUCUACCCCGACAAACAUUUCAUGGCAAGCUUUACACAAUGCAGAUACAUCACAUCAAUUUGGUGUUACGGACCACACAAGAUGGGCACGUACAGCACAACAAGGGCCUAUGACUAAAGUGAACAGCGGUGCAGGGGCAUCUACUGCGGGGAGCUCUGAGCGCACGGAAGACGCGGUCCUCCAGCCAGCCACAAGUCAUGACGCAGACAAUCCCGAGUCAGAGUCAGAAAUGGCAAUUAUUCCUGCAAUGCCGACAAGCACCCCUUUGAACACAAGCACUGGCAACACUCAAGCAGAUCAAACUGCCGCCGAUAUUGAAGUGAAUGAUGAAACUGACGACGAGGCACAAGGGGAUGAAGAUGAUGGGCAAUCAGAGAUCUUGGUACCUCAGCCACCGUACGUUGGACAGAGAUUUGAAUCGUUCGAAGAAACAAAGGAAUUCUACCAGACAUAUGCAAAGUUCCAUGGGUUUGCGGUCAACACCGAAUAUCAUAGGAAGAUUAAGAAAACAAACGAGUACAACAGAGCUGAGAUGAGGUGUCACAAGGCACGGAGGAACAAGAAGGGGAAAGGUGUUGCGCCUGUCGUUCCAAAACGAAAGAGAGGGGUCAUUCUCAAGACGGGAUGCCCUGUCCGGUGUAAGCUAAACGUAGAUGGAACACAAUAUGUGGUCACUGACUAUUUUGACGAGCACAACCACAAACUCAUAAAGAAGUUCGACCUGGUAAAAUUUCUGACCGCACACAGAUAAUUCACCCCCGUUGAAAGGCAAUUCGUAAAGCUGCUACAUGAUUGUAACGUCGGUCCAUCAAAAAUGGUCCAGAUACUGUCACUUAUCCACAGCAAAAAGGGGACUCUGAGUAGCAUGCCCUACAUACCAGCUGACGUCACAAACCUACAGGCAAAGUACCGUAGAGAAAGCAAGUUGGCUGACAUAGAGGCCACAAUGGCCUACUUUGAUGAGAAAGCGAAGGAAGAUCCAGAUUUCUUCUACAGGAUAAGGUUGGACAAUGAGGACCGUGUCAGGAAUAUGUAUUGGGUGGAUGGUGCUGCAAGGAGAGCCUACAAACAUUUCCGAGAUUGCAUUUCAUUUGACGCGACGUAUCUCAUUAAUGUGUACAAGAUGCCAUGCCUCCGUUCAUAGGAAUAAAUAACCACAAUUAGUCGUUGCAGU